CGCAAUGGGCGAAAGCCUGACGGAGCAACGCCGCGUGCAGGAGGAAGGCCUUCGGGUUGUAAACUGCUUUUGUCUGUGACGAUUAUGACGGUAGCAGAAGAAUAAGGAUUGGCUAAUUCCGUGCCAGCAGCCGCGGUCAUACGGAAGAUCCGAGCGUUAUCUGGAAUUACUGGGGGUAAAAAGGGGGGUAGGUGGCAUAUAAGCGAGCAGUGAAAGAUCCCGGCUCCACCCGGGACCCGGGGUUGGAACUACUAAUCUUGAGCGCGGGAGAGGAAGAUGGAAUUUCUAGGGUAGGGGUGAAAUCCGUAGAUAUUAGGAGGAACACCGGUGGCGUAGGCGGUUCUCUGGAUCGUUGCUGACACUGCGGCUCGAAAGCGU
rnacentral:rRNA from 1 species